UACGUAGGGUGCAAGCGUUGUCCGGAAUUAUUGGGCGUAAAGAGCUCGUAGGCGGUCUGUCGCGUCGGCUGUGAAAUCCCGGAGCUCAACUCCGGGUCUGCAGUGGAUACGGGCCGGCUGGAGGCAGGCAGGGGAGAAUGGAAUUCCCGGUGUAGCGGUGAAAUGCGCAGAUAUCGGGAGGAACACCGGUGGCGAAGGCGGUUCUCUGGGCCUGUACUGACGCUGAGGAGCGAAAGCGUGGGGAGCGAACAGG
rnacentral:rRNA from 1 species